rnacentral:rRNA from 1 species
AUUGAACGCUGGCGGCAGGCUUAACACAUGCAAGUCGAGCGGUAACAGAGAGAAGCUUGCUUCUCUGCUGACGAGCGGCGGACGGGUGAGUAAUGCCUAGGAAUCUGCCUAGUAGUGGGGGAUAACUUGCCGAAAGGUAAGCUAAUACCGCAUACGUCCUACGGGAGAAAGGAGGGGACCUUCGGGCCUUUCGCUAUUAGAUGAGCCUAGGUGGGGUUAGGUAGUUGGUGAGGUAAUGGCUCACCAAGACCGCGAUCCGUAACUGGUCUGAGAGGAUGAGCAGUAACACUGGAACUGAGACACGGGCCAGAUUCCUACGGGAGGCAGCAGUGGGGAAUAUUGGACAAUGGGGGGAACCCUGAUCCAGCCAUGCCGCGUGUGUGAAGAAGGUCUUAGGAUUGUAAAGCGCUUUAAGUUGGGAGGAAGAGCAGUUAACUAAUAUUUGACUGUUUUGACGUUACCGACAGAAUAAGCACCGGCUAACUUCGUGCCAGCCGCCGCCGUAA